CGGAGAAAAACAGCAGAUAUGACUAAACUACCUAUAUGGAAGUCUAGUACUAUGUUGGUGUUAAAAAUAAUAAAAAUAAAAUUUUUGGUAUCUCUUUGAUUUUUUUCAAAAAAUAAGGUAAAAAAAUGCUAAAAUAAGGAAAAUUGAAAAAAAAAAAAACAGUUUCCAACCGUUUUCAAUUAUUCAUUACCAGAGGAAAACAC
rnacentral:lncRNA from 1 species